UGGGGAAUCUUGGACAAUGGGGGAAACCCUGAUCCAGCAAUGCCGCGUGUGUGAAGAAGGCCUGCGGGUUGUAAAGCACUUUAGGAAGGAAAGAAGUAAACUUUGCUAAUACCAAGGUUUAUUGACGGUACCUUCAAAAUAAGCACCGGCUAACUCUGUGCCAGCAGCCGCGGUGAGACAGAGGGUGCAAGCGUUAAUCGGAAUGAUUGGGCGUAAAGGGCGUGUAGGUGGUAAUUUAGGUUUGAUGUGAAAGCUUUCGGCUCAACCGGAAAAGUGCAUUAAAUACCAGAUUGCUAGAGUGAGAGAGAGGACUGUGGAAUUUCCGGUGUAGCGGUGAAAUGCGUAGAUAUCGGAAGGAACACCAGUGGCGAAGGCGACAGUCUGGCUCUAUACUGACACU
rnacentral:rRNA from 1 species